GUAAAUCCAUUCUAACUUAGAGUGGUAGAGAAACUGGCAAAGGCAUUGAUGAUGAUGUUGAACAAGAGGAAGUUGUGAUAGAAAGAGAACAAGAUGAGAUUGAAGUAGAAAAAAUAAAGAGGGAGAAUUAGUUGAAAAUGAAAAAAAUUGAAAAAAGAUGAGCUAGAAAAUAAAAAGGGAGAGGAAAAGAAGAGAAAUGGAAAAUGAAGAGUCUUCCAAAACAACACCUACCUUAUCCACAUGUUCCUACCA
rnacentral:lncRNA from 1 species